GGGCGGUAAAAGGGUGGUGGGUGUGGAGGGGACCGGGACAGGCAUCUCCUGGGGAAAGUUUCGAGUGAGGCAGUGGGAGGAGAGGGUCGGGGCAGAGUUGCGAUGAACUGGGGAUUGAGCAGCCCCGGCUCGCCUCCGAGGUUCCCGAGCCGGGCGGGAGAUGCGGGGAGAGGGAGGGGGCGGGGAGGGGAGGGGAGGGAGAGAGGAAGAAGGGGUGAGAGGGAGAAACCUGCCGCCGCUCGCCGCCUCUUUGUCUGCUCCGGGACUUGGAACAAAAGGGGGAACUCUGAUGAACUCUCUCUCCUCCCCUCUCCCCCGGACGCCCGCCCGGGUAUCUCCCUCUCCCAACUUUGCCGCCGCGACUUUCUCCGCUGUCAGGCCACACAAAAGUGUCCUAGCGCCUCGCAGACUGCAACGAGGGGCAUGUCUCUUAAAAGUGCGACGAAGUGGAGAAGAAGGUAUAAUUAUUAUUAUCAGCAUCUAGAAAGCGUCGUGCGGUGCGUUGACCUUCGCCAUACUGCAUUGUUCUUACUGGAUCUUUCUAUCAGUGAACAUUAUGGAAGUACCAGUGCAACAUCAAGUCAUUCCUGGAUGAAAAGUUAUCAGACUUGUUCUUUUGGAGUUACUUAAAAGUUAAAAUGUCAGGAUUUUUGAUGAUGCCUUCUCUAAAUGGAUUACUACAAUUUGAUCACUGGGAAUUCUCCGCCUUAAAGAAGGUAAAAUCAUCUGUUGGAGUUAUUCCAUUAUCCUCAUCCUGUGGAGAUCUUGAUUUGGAAAUUCUUGACAAAAUCUACAGUGUCUGACUUACUAUCAAUGUUACCAACUGAAGGAUCUGCAUUGACUGCUCCAGCAGUGGCUAACUUGAUGUCCUCUGCAAAUUUAAAAAGCGUGCCACCUUUUCCAUCAUCGGGUCAUCCCUGAGGUCAUCACGGAACAUCCUUCUCAACUGUCCAUGAUCCGUGGGUAGCUGUUCUCUGUUGUCCAUUUCACCAGAUGUCCUCAAAACUAACAGACAGAAAAGGGAAAUGGUUAAUGGUUGAGUGCCCCUGUUGGUCUAUCAUGGAGGGCGAGGAGAGCCUACAGGCGCAUGCGCCCACCUCUGUAACUUGCUGUUCCUUGUGUCAUAUCAAGUGGAAGUGCGAAGCACCACAAACUGCUUUGAGCAGAGCCCACUUCCCUUCACCCACAGAGAACGUGAAGCAGUUAUACCAACAUCAAUCAAGGAAAACCCACAGGCUGAACUCACACCGUUGAAGCAGGUGAGGAAAUUGAAGAUUUGUCCAAGAGCAGAAAGCUGAUGAGAGAGAGAAAGAAGAAAGAGACCAGCUUACAGCUCAAGUCCUCUUUCUAUGCUCUGGAAUCACCAUAAAUGCUACUCGCUUGGACCUCGUUUUGUUUCUUUCUGGAACUCUGUACUCUGUUUGCAAUGGUAUGGUUAGUUGUUAGGACCGCUUAUGUGUAUUUUUUUUUUAAUUUAGAGAAAUAUUGCUGCAAAGCUUUUCCAGGAUGUAUUUAAAAAGGAGGUAUCCUCUGGUUAUCUAGCAUUCAACUGAUUCUUUCAAUUUGGUUGGUUUAGUCAAAGUUUGAGUAGAAGAGUCUGUCUAGGUAAUGGUUUUUGAGGACACUUGGGCAAAACAAAAAAAAAUAGCCUAUGGAAAACUCAUUCUGAUCAUUUCAUACCUAGGAAAAAUGCAGAGAACAAUAAAAAUGAGUCAAUAUUUUAUAAAUUCAAGGCCAGUAUUCUAUGUCAAUGUCAAUGGUGUAUGAGUUCCAGAGGAUUUGUGUCACUAUUAAAUUACAAAUGAUUUGCUCUUAUUUGAGGUGUAGUAGAUUUAGCCGUAUAAUGGAUGGAAACAAACAGAAUACAAAGGAUAGAGAGCAAACGUAUUUUGUAAGGCAAUUGCAAGCCUCUUAUGAGCUUCAGUACAAAGGAAUAGAGACCAUCUCAUCUCUUUGCUAUUCAUUCAUCUUUAGCAUUAGUGAACUCAUGGCUUGUAUUCUUGACCUUGACCUAGAGCCCUGAAGCGCUUCCUGUCUUUGCCCUGCUUCAGCAGGUACAUUUCAGGAGAGUGAGCGUGUAUUACCUAUCUGUAACCCAGAUCUCAGGUAGAUGGGUGCUAUUAGAACUGGGAGAGAGCUGUCAUUUGAUGUUCAAGGAUUUCCCACUUUUGUAUAUGUUUGCAUACUGUAUGUUACCUUUCAUUUUAAGCUUUUUAUUCUCACUAUUCAAGCUAGUUGAAUUUGUUGAGCUAUUGUUCAUAAUUGUAGAAAUAGAUCUGUAGAGCUUUCUUCAAUGACCAUUUUCACUGCUAAUGUAUUUUGUAACCAGCCAGGUUUAUGGAAAACCCAGUUUUCAUGUUUUUCUGAGAGGUACAUGUCAAAGAAGGUUUUUCAUUCCUUGCUUAGCAAUUUUUAGUUUCCACCAGAGUUCAGUGGACCAUACAGUAUGUAUGGACCAAACAUCCCACCAGUUACACAACUUACUCUUACUAUUUAAGCAGCUUCUUUUAGGGGAUUGAGAGAGCAUGUUGGCCCUUUUAUAUAACUUAUUUUCGAAGUCAGAUCAAAUUCGCCAUUAGAGUGUUGUGAAUUCACAUCUUAAAUUCUUUUGGAAUUCUUUUUAUAUUCAUAUUUUUAGAGUCGUCACACCAAGCAGAAUUUUUCCAGGCCAUCUCUACUGAUCACCACUGAUGAAAGAGGGUGAGAUGAGCAAACCCAUGUUUUUUGUUUGUUUUUUCCACUUUUAUUGAGAAAUUAUUGACAUACAUCACUGUAUAAGUUAAGCAUAUAGCAUGAUGGUUUGAUUUACAUAUAUUGUGAAAUGAUUACCACAAUGGAUUCAGCUAACGCUC
rnacentral:lncRNA from 1 species